rnacentral:rRNA from 1 species
UACGAAGGGGGCUAGCGUUGCUCGGAAUCACUGGGCGUAAAGCGCACGUAGGCGGCUUUUUAAGUCAGGGGUGAAAUCCUGGAGCUCAACUCCAGAACUGCCUUUGAUACUGAGAAGCUUGAGUCCGGGAGAGGUGAGUGGAACUGCGAGUGUAGAGGUGAAAUUCGUAGAUAUUCGCAAGAACACCUGUGGCGAAGGCGGCUCACUGGCCCGGUACUGACGCUGAGGCACGAAAGCGUGGGGAGCAAACAGG